rnacentral:rRNA from 1 species
CCACAGCGAUGUGGUCUCAGCAAAGAGUCCCUCCCGACUGUUUACCAAAAACACAGCACUUUGCCAACUCGUAAGAGGAAGUAUAAGGUGUGACGCCUGCCCGGUGCUCGAAGGUUAAGAGGAUGCGUCAGUCGCAAGAUGAAGCGUUGAAUUGAAGCCCGAGUAAACGGCGGCCGUAACUAUAACGGUCCUAAGGUAGCGAAAUUCCUUGUCGGUUAAAUACCGACCUGCAUGAAUGGCGUAACGAGAUGGGAGCUGUCUCAACCAGAGAUUCAGUGAAAUUGUAGUGGAGGUGAAAAUUCCUCCUACCCGCGGCAAGACGGAAAGACCCCGUGGACCUUUACUACAACUUAGCACUGCUAAUGGGAAUAUCAUGCGCAGGAUAGGUGGGAGGCUUUGAACUAAGGGCUUUGGCUCUUAUGAG